UACGAAGGGAGCAAGCGUUGUCCGGAUUUAUUGGGCGUAAAGAGCGUGUAGGCGGCCAGACAGGUCCGUUGUGAAAACUGGAGGCUUAACCUCCAGACGUCGAUGGAAACCGUCUGGCUAGAGUCCGGAAGAGGAGAGUGGAAUUCCUGGUGUGGCGGUGAAAUGCGCAGAUAUCAGGAAGAACACCCGUGGCUAAGGCGGCUCUCUAGUACGGUACUGACGCUGAGACGCGAAAGCGUGGGGAGCGAACAGG
rnacentral:rRNA from 1 species